rnacentral:rRNA from 1 species
CAGCGCCACAAGUGGGGAUCAUUUUUAUUUGGCCUAAAGCGUCCGUAGCUGGUUUAGUAAAUCUUUUGUGAAAUCGUUUCGCUUAACGAAACGGCGUGCAGGAGAGACUGCUAGACUAGGAACUGGGAGGAGUCAGAGGUAUGCUUGGGGGAGCGGUAAAAUGCUAUAAUCCCUAGCAGACCACCUGUGGCGAAGGCGUCUGACUAGAACGGGUUCGACAGUGAGGGACGAAAGCCAGGGGAGCAAACCGGAUUAGAUACCCGAGUAGUCC